GUAGGUGGCAAGCGUUGUCCGGAAUUAUUGGGCGUAAAGCGCGCGCAGGUGGUUCUUUAAGUCUGAUGUGAAAGCCCCCCGGGCUCAACCGGGGAGGGUCAUUGGAAACUGGGGAACUUGAGUGCAGGAGAGGAAAGUGGAAUUCCACGUGCAGCGGUGAAAUGCGUAGAUAUGUGGAGGAACACCAGUGGCGAAGGCGACUUUCUGGCCUGUAACUGACACUGAGGCGCGAAAGCGUGGGGAGCAAACAGGAUUAGAUACCCUGGUAGUCCACGCCGUAAACGAUGAGUGCUAAGUGUUGGGGGGUUUCCGCCCCUCAGUGCUGCAGCUAACGCAUUAAGCACUCCGCCUGGGGAGUACGGUCGCAAGACUG
rnacentral:rRNA from 1 species